UACAGAGGUCUCAAGCGUUGUUCGGAAUCACUGGGCGUAAAGGGUGCGUAGGUGGCGUGGAAAGUCAGAUGUGAAAUCCGGGGGCUCAACCUCCGGCCUGCAUCCGAUACUCCCAUGCUAGAGAACUGGAGGGGGAUCUGGAAUUCUCGGUGUAGCAGUGAAAUGCGUAGAUAUCGAGAGGAACACUAGUGGCGAAGGCGAGAUCCUGGACAGUUUCUGACACUGAGGCACGAAGGUCAGGGUAGCGAACGGG
rnacentral:rRNA from 1 species